rnacentral:misc_RNA from 1 species
AGAAAUAGAGAAGAAGAAUUUGUGGAAUAAUUAGCUUGAUUAUUCCCUCAAGCCAUGGGUUAUAAAUACUAAUUACAGAGAUCUUAAACAGGAAAUAAUAUUCACAAAUCAUAUCUUCCUAUUUUAUAAAAAAAAUAAAAGAAAAUCAUAUAUUCCUAAUUUCCUAAUAUACUAAUGUCUUUACAGAAUUAAUAAAUAGGCACAUAUUCCAUAGAUGUCUGAGGCUAAAAUAGAUAACAGAAAUACAUACACCCAUAAGUGUAAGUAGGAGUGUGUGUCCUAUAAUUGAUAAAUGGCCAUGCAUUAAUACAUGCUAACAGAUGAUAUAAAUUGGAAACAGAUGCAUACAUUAGACCCAAGUUUAGGGCG